AGCUCUAAUAGCAUACGUUAAAGUUGUUGCGGUUAAAACGCUCGUAGUCGGCAACAGAUCUUCAGAACCAUUCAUCGGGAAUCGGGUCAGCUACUCUACUCGAGUGCGCCGAGGUACUUGUGGGUGGGGACGUCGAUCAAGUGCACUCCUCGCUGUCCUUCGGGUCACAGGGUAUUCGGGCUUGCUCGGGUACUCGGCUUGGUUUGCCAAUCACUAUGACUAAACUGGCGUGAUCAAAGCAGGUCUUUCGACACGUACAGCUCAGCAUAGCAUGAAAAUUACUCUCACGGACGUACUGCGAGCGCCCGUGGGGGUAAAAGCGAUAGGGGUGUUCGAGGGUGACCGAAUUGCUGGGCGAGUGGUGAAAUACGUUGACCCUAGCAAGUCGACCAAAGGCGAAAGCAGUCAUCAAGGACACGCCCG
rnacentral:rRNA from 1 species